rnacentral:rRNA from 1 species
CGGACCGGCGCACGGGUGAGUAACACGUAUGCAACCUGGCCGUGACAGAUGGAUAACCGGGAGAAAUCCCGCCUAAUACAGCAUGACGCCGGGAAGGGACAUCCCUUUCCGGCCAAAGGGGGCGACUCCGGUCACGGAUGGGCAUGCGGCGCAUUAGGUAGUUGGUGGGGCAACGGCCCACCAAGCCGACGAUGCGUAGGGGUUCUGAGAGGAAGGUCCCCCACAUUGGAACUGAGACACGGUCCAAACUCCUACGGGAGGCAGCAG